UACGUAGGCAGCGAGCGUUGUUCGGAGUUACUGGGCGUAAAGAGUAUGUAGGCGGUUCUGUAAGUCUGGUGUGAAAUCUCCCGGCUCAACUGGGAGGGUGCGCCGGAAACUGCAGGGCUAGAGUGUGGGAGAGGAAAGCGGAAUUCCUGGUGUAGCGGUGAAAUGCGUAGAUAUCAGGAGGAACACCGGCGGUGUAGACGGCUUUCUGGACCACGACUGACGCUGAGAUACGAAAGCGUGGGUAGCAAACAGG
rnacentral:rRNA from 1 species